GAAUGCGAUCAUACCAGCACUAAUGCACCGGAUCUCAUCAGAACUCCGCAGUUAAGCGUAUCAAGUGUCGUUAAAGACUCUAGGCGAAGCUUAGAGGUCGCCGGUU
rnacentral:rRNA from 1 species